GGGAUUUAUUGCAUUCAACACACACAGCUUGUUUUUCACCUAAUUCCAACUAAAAUAUUCGUGCCAUCAAUUAAUAUCAGCAAAAAAUCCAUACAAUGCAAUUAUUUUAGCACACUAGCUUCUAAAAAAUCUCAUUAUUUAGGGACUUUGUGCUAAAAAAAAUAUUAUAGGGAUUUUUUUCUUUUUUUGUUGAUAUUGUCAUUACGUAG
rnacentral:lncRNA from 1 species